rnacentral:lncRNA from 1 species
UCCUGGAAACAGCAAGGUUGCAACAUUAGUCAAUCAAGUGGCUCUUCUACAAAGAAAAUUUGAAUAUUGCAGCCCUUCUCUUGUAGCACAUACUGACAUUAAGUUUGCACUUAAAGUUGCAAGAGAGGCUAUAGUUUCUCAGAUCACCUGGCGUGCAGACUCUAGCAAUGGAAAGAGUUUGAAGGAGACUUGUGUAAUUUGCUUUGAAGAAACUGAUGUUGCAGAAAUUUUUUCAAUCGAUGGCUGUCUACACAGGUAUUGCUGUUCUUGUAUGAAACAGCAUGUGGAAGUAAAGUUUCUUAAUGGGAUGGGGGCAGAGUGCCCUCAUGAAGGCUGUAAAAAUGAGGUGAAUAUUGAUAGCUGUGCAGAAUUCUUGGCACCUAAACUAGUUGAGGCCAUAAGCCAAAGAAUCAAGGAAUUUUCUAUUCCGGUUACAGACAAAGUUUAUUGCCCAAAUCCCAGGUGUUCUGCAUUAAUGUCUAAAAAGGAGGUCUUAGAAUAUACCAAAACUACUUUUGUCCAUGCUGAGCAAACUGGAGCCAGGAGAUGCAUGAAAUGUCAUUACUAUUUUUGUAUCAAUUGCAAGGUCCCUUGGCACUUCAAUAUGACCUGCUAUGAUUAUAAAAGAUCACAUCCCUAUCCCCACCCAGAAGACCAAUUGCUCAACUCGCUGGCUACAAAGAAACUCUGGCGUCAGUGCGUAAAGUGCAGCCAUAUGGUUGAACUUGCCGAAGGUUGUUAUCACAUAACUUGCAGGUAUUACUCCCCACUCCUCCAUCCUAUUUGACUUGUCUUUUGGUCAUUGUUCUGUUGAUUUUGUCAUCUUUAGAUCAAAUUAGCAAUUUUUUGAGAGGGAUGAAACUAGCAAAAGAUAAAACAAAAUAUACAGCUAGUGAACUCAAAUAUGAUCUAAUUGGUAGCAAGUUGAGUACAAGAGUGGAUAUGGCUAAGUAUAGUGUUGGGUCUCAAGUUCCUCUGAGUUCUUUUGAUUGAAAACCACAUUGCCAAUGGGCCAUCAAACCACCAAAAGAGUCAAUCUUUGCAUGCUGAUCUAUUUGGCAUUCUCUUUUAUGCUUUUGUUAGCAAACAUUGGAUGAGAUCCUAGUAAUCUAUAAAUAGAUAUCAUGGUAGGGCCUUACACUGCCCCCUCAGAUAGUUAUGGUAUUGGUGUAUUGCCUUUACUAGUUGCAGACCACCUUUUCUAUUCUUUUACCCACAAAAAGAACUAGUUUUGAUUGUUCUUUUCUGGGUGCUGCUAUUUUUUUUCUGUAUACCAAUCCUUGUGGUUUGUCUAUAUGCUUGCACUGUCUUUGUAGAUGUGGUUAUGAGUUUUGUUAUACUUGUGGAGCUGAGUGGAAGAACAAGAAAGCAACAUGUUCCUGCCGAAUCUGGGAUGAGCGUAACAUUAUACGCGAACAGCCACAACAAGCACAGCCCAUUAUACGCGAACAGCCAUGACAGGCACAGCCCAUUAUACGCGAACAGCCACGACAGGCACAGCCCAUUAUACGCGAACAGUCACGACAAGUACGACGAUGACAAUGAUCGGGAUUACCAAGACUCUUGUUAGACUACAACUAAAGAUUUAGGCUAUUAGUGUGAUCUUUUGCGUUUUGCUUUCCUUUGUUUUCUUUGUUAUGAAAAAAAAGGUGAAGGGUGUUUAAGGACCACAAUGUCAGAUGCUAAGCUAAAAUAUUGCCCAGCUUUUUGUUAACUUUUGGCACAUUAGUUUUGCAUUCCUCUUAUAUUUUUCAAGGGUAUCCCCCUUGACACCAUGUGGGACGCUUAGGGGUGGGCACAGAUUGAGUUGGGUCGGUUUUGAUCCUAAUUUGUAACUCAAUUCAUACUUAGCGGUUUAUAAUUUUAGGUUUAAGACCCGUUUAUUAUUAGGUCAACCUAACCCCACCAACCCUACCCAACUCAAUCAUAUUUGGAUUCAAGACCCGCUCCUUAAAAAAGAGAGGAUACAUGUUAGUUUGUGGUUGAACCAGAAUAAAAGGUAUGGAGGAGUUCUUCCUUACAGGCAAGGAGGGAAAUAUUGUCCAUGUUUUAUUAUCAUUCUUAGAAGACUAAUGUAUCUGAAACAAAAGCGCGUCAAACGAGGGGGGGAAAAAUGAUAUUUUGAUUUUUAGUUAGGAAGCAGAAUGAAAAGCCAUCAGAUUUCAUCGUGGCCAUAGUUCCAUAGAAAUAAAAUGGGAUCUUUGAGGGGGUUUUGAUUUCGGAGGAGUUAGUACUUCUUCUUUUUCUUUUUCCAGUUAGUUGAUGAAGUGUUAGUUCUCUAACCCUUGUAUUGUAUUUUAUUGAUGUGGCAAUCUUAUAUUAAAUGUGAAGGAGAUUCUAGCAGAGAAAAUAUAGCAGAUGAUCCAGAUCCUCGAGUCACCCUAAGUUUUAAAUUGAUGGAAUUUUUAGCUGAAACCUAUUUUUUAAAUAUUCUUUCUUCUCAAUGAAAGAGACGUAGCUCAACCACACAGACAAGCUAAAUUUUGUCACUAACACAACAAUCAAAAUUGCAAAAGGAUCCCAAACUACAUUCCAGUAUCUCGGCCAAAGGAUUAAUAAAUACGAAGAAUAUUCAAAAAUCAGGGAAACAUUUCUUUCAAUAAGAAAGCCAUCUGUACCAAUAUGCAGCAUUUCAGAAAAUAACCAGUUACUUGGCAGUCAUAUUUCACUCCACCAAUCUCGAAAACUCCAUCAACAAAGCCCACUUUUACUCCACCGUUUGUAUCAGUGGUUAGGUACGUGAAAUUUGCAUUGGCAUAAAAAAGAAAAAUAUAACAACAAUGUCCAGGGUCUCACCUGAAUAGCAAGUUCCAGUGUUGGGCAAAUGACAACAACGCCCGUUCCCUCACGAGGAGUAAACUGUGUCCUAUAUAGCAACUCCAGCUGGUAUUAGAAAAACAAGAGUUUUCCUGCAUCCUGUCCUUGCAGCUCCGAUGACAUCAUUUCCGUUCAAUAGUGGUGGGAUUGCUUUGUCUUCUUUCGUGUAUUUAGCGGUAAACCAGGCGUUGCUACUUAAUGUUAAUGAAUCUUCAUUGGGAGUACAAAGAAAAAAGAAAUCAUAUGCCCUUCUUUCUGCACUCUUGUUCUAGGAUGCAUUCCGUCAAGCAUGAUGGGAUGAAGUGUUAAGAUAUUUAGUCGUUUGUUUUUCAAUAAAUUCCUAUUUGUUAGGAAGUCUGUUGCUUUUACCUAUUCCUUAGGAGAAUCCCAGAAUAUUAGGAGUUGUUAGUCGUGGGAUUAGAGGCUACUUUAUUUUCUAGCUUUCUGUUAUUUGCCUUUGUAUUUAAUUAGACUUCAAGUCAAUGAAUUGAAAUCGCAUUCCUUUUACUCAUUCUGCAGCAAACUCAGCUUUUAGUUUUACAACAUUUGGUAUCAGAGCCCCCCACUGGGGUCUGAUUUGGAAAAGCAGCAGCUUUCAGUCUUGCCGCAGCAAGAUAUUCAAUGGCUUCUGAAAGCAGCUUUGUGCAACCUGCGAUUCCACGUUUCGAUGGUCACUAUGAUCAUUGGAGUAUGUUGAUGGAAAAUUUUCUGCGAUUCAUGGAGUACUGGACUCUCGUGGAAACCGGCAUCGAUGUGCACACUAGUGAGACUGUUUUGACAGAAGCGCAGAGAAAGACAUUGGAGGAUCAGAGAUUGAAGGAUUUGAAGACAAAGAAUUAUUUGUUUCAAGCAAUAGAUCGUGCCAUUCUCGAAACCAUCCUGAAGAAGGACACUGCUAAAGACAUAUGGGAUUCAAUGAAGACGAAGUACCAAGGCACUGCACGGGUGAAACGUGCACAACUCCAAGCUCUUCGCAAAGAGUCUGAAAUUCUUCACAUGAAGGAAGGAGAGUCAGUGAAUGACUACUUUGCAAGAACACUGUCAAUUGCAAACAAGAUGCGCAUCCAUGGAGAAAAUUUUAAAGAUAUUGCUGUCAUUGAGAAAAUCCUUCGCUCAAUGACACGCAAAUUUGACUAUGUGGUGUGUUCCAUUGAAGAAUCGAAUGACAUUGAUAGUCUUUCGAUUGAUGUGCUGCAAAGCUCACUGUUAGUUCAUGAGCAGAGGAUGACCAGCUAUGUUGUGGAGGAGCCAGCCUUGAAGGUCAGUACUUAUGAAGGAAUUACUUCUUCAAGAAGAGGUAGAGGACGGGGAGGAUUUUGUGGAAGCGGCAGAGGUAGAGGACGCCAACUUUCUUACAAUCAAGGAGCACAAUUUGACAAGGCGAGUGUGGAAUGUUAUUACUGUCACAAGCUUGGCCACUAUCAGUAUGAAUGCCCUGACAAGGAAACCAAGGUAAAUUUCGCUGAGACUGAAGGAGAAAUACUCUUCAUGGCUCACAUCGACAAGAAGGAGUUUUCAUCAGGUGAUACUUCUUGGUAUUUAGAUUCGGGUUGCAGCAAUCACAUGUGUUGAAACAAGUCCUUAUUUUAUGAUUUGGAUGAAACAUUCAGAGAAACUGUAAAGCUUGGGAACAACUCUUGCAUUUCUGUCAUAGGAAAAGGGGAUAUCAAAUUCCAUAUGAAAAACAACACUGUGCAGACAAUUUCACAUUCAGUAUGAUUCAUCAUCCAGAGAAGGGCCUCAUUGCAGAAGCAAAAAUGACAACAAAUCGAAUGUUCCCUUUGCACAUUCAGUAUGAUGCCCAGAAGUGUCUCUCAACAAGAGUGCAAGAUCCAACAUGGUUGUGGCAUCUUCGUUAUGGUCAUUUGAGCUUCAAAGGCCUGAAAACUCUACAUGAGAAGAACAUGAUGGAAGGACUGCCUAAGAUUAACUGUCCCACAGAAAUGUGUGAAGAUUGCAUUGUUGGUAAACAACAUCGAGAUUCUUUCCCACAAGGAAAAGCAUGGAGAGCUGAGCAAAUCCUACAGUUGGUUCAUUCAGACAUCUGUGGUCCAAUCAAUCCAACAUCGAAUGGAAACAAAAGGUAUUUCAUCACCUUCAUUGAUGAUUAUAGUCGAAAAACAUGGAUUUAUUUCUUGCAAGAGAAAUCUGAAGCUUUUGUUGUUUUUAAAAGCUUUAAGGCUCGAGUUGAAAAAGAAUCUGGCAAGUACAUUCAGAUCCUUCGCACAGAUAGUGGUGGUGAAUUUAACUCACAUAACUUUGCAAGUUUUUGUGAAUUGCAUGGAAUACGGUGGCAACUUAUUGCUGCAUACACACCACAGCAAAACGGCGUGGCAGAAAGAAAGAAUCAGAUGAUUAUGAACAUGGUAUGAAGCAUGUUGGUAAAAAAAGGCAUUCCAAAGACUUUCUGGCCAGAAGCAGUCAAUUGGAGUGUUCAUGUGCUCAACCGAAGCCCUACCCUUGCUGUAAAAAAAACAUAACACCACAAGAAGCUUGGAGUGAAGUCAGGCCAUCAGUUGAUCACUUCAGAAUUUUCUGGUGUAUAGCGUAUGCGCAUGUUCCAAAUGAAAAGAGAACAAAGCUUGAUGAUAAAAGUGUGAAGUGUGUCUUUAUUGGGGUUAGUGAAGAAUCCAAAGCGUACAGGUGAUAUAAUCCCAUUACCAAGAAAAUAAUAAUCAGUCGAGAUGUUCUGUUUGAUGAAGAAAACACAUGGGAUUGGAGCAGCACCGAACAACAGUAAAUUUUAAUUGAUCUUGAGGAAGCUGGCGGGGAAAUUACACAGCCACUGCAACCUCCUCUUGAAAGUCAGGGGUCUGAAUCACAAUUGCAACUUCCUUGUCAGUCCCUUGCAGAAGCUUUACCAAGUUCUUCAGCAAGAGUUUCAAUUCCAAAUGAAGUUCAGGCACCUAGCUCAGAACCACAGCGACAAAGAAAAAGACCAUCUUGGAUGAUAGAUUAUGUUAGUGGAGAUGAAUUAUCUAAUGAGGAUACAACUGCUUAUUUCGCUCUAUUUGCAGGCUCCGAUCCUAUAUUGUUUGCAGAAGCAGUGAAAGAAGAAAAGUGGAAAAAAGCCAUGGAUGCAGAGAUUCAAGCUAUAGAGAAAAAUGAGACUUGGGAGCGAACCAAUCUUCUUGAAGGGCAAAAAACCAUUGGUGUAAAGUGGGUUUAUAAGACGAAGCUGAAUGGAAAGGGAGAAAUUGACAAGUUCAAAGCAAGGCUGGUUGUGAAAGGCUACAAUCAAGAACAUGGAGUUGAUUAUCAAGAGAUUUUUGCUCCUGUCGCAAGACAGGAUACAAUUCGGUUGGUAGUCUCAUUCGCGGCACAAAACUCAUGGCCCAUCUUCCAGCUUGAUGUGAAAUCGGCCUUCCUUAAUGGUAAACUACUUGAGCAAGUCUACAUUGAGGAGCCACCUGGUUAUGUGAUAAAAGGUAAUGAACAUAAGGUUUACAGAUUAAAGAAUGCUUUAUAUGGCCUGAAACAGGCACCUCGAGCCUGGUACAGUUGUAUAGAAGCAUACUUUGAAAAGGCAGGUUUUAACAAAUGUCCAUAUGAGCACACCCUAUUCAUCAAGUCUGGAGCAGAAGGUAAAAUCCUGAUAGUUUGCUUAUAUGUUGAUGAUCUUAUUUUUACGGGCAAUGAUGAGGCUAUGUUUGUUGAUUUUAAGAAUUCUAUGAUGGCUGAUUUUGACAUAACUGAUUUGGGAAAGAUGAAAUAUUAUCUUGGUAUAGAAGUAGUACAAACAGCUACUGGAUAUUUUAUUGGGCAAAAGAAAUAUGCUCAGGAGGUGUUCGAGAGGUUUCACAUGGAGAAUUGUAAUCCAGUUGUGACUCCAACUGAACCGGGAUUGAAGCUCUCAAGGGAUCUUGAUGAAGAGAGGGUUGAUAGUACUUACUUCAAACAAAUUGUUGGAAGUUUAAUGUACUUGACAGCCACUCGGCCUGAUAUUAUGUAUGCAGUGUGUCUAAUUAGCAGGUAUAUGGAAAUGUUGAAGUUUCUAUAUAACAGUAGAUUUCUUGCACACAAAGUAUAUGAGACAAAGUUGUAGAGAGAAAGAGAGAGGGAGAGAAUCUGUUUUGGCUAUCUGAAUGUAAUCAGCACACACAUUUCAUUUCUCACAGAACAUUCCUUUUGUACAGCAGAGAAUAUGAUCUCAGCCAUACAAUUUAGUGCCAGCAAUAUGAGCUGCACACUUGGCAUGAGCUAGGACAUAUGAGACCUAUGCUCUAGAAUCUAAUCUAAGCCUUACACCUGUCAAACUAACAAACUUAAACCAGUAACAGAAUUUACAUUUCAACAGGAAAGACCAACGGAGCUGCAUCUCAGAGCUGCUAAAAGAGUGUUUCGUUACUUGAAAGGAACAACAGAUUUUGGUAUUUUCUACAAGAAAAAUGGAGGACCUAUUUGACUGGUUUGACAGUGAUUAUGCUGGUGAUUUGGAUGAUAGGCGGAGUACAACAGGCCAUGUAUUUUUGAUGGGUUCAGGUGAAGCAACAGGUUGUAACUUUGUCCACAACUGAAGCAGAGUUCGUAUCUGCAGCAACCUAUGCAUGUCAAGCAAUUUGGUUGAGAAGGAUUCUUGAAGAGCUACAGUUUUAUCAACAUGGGCUUACUGUGAUUCAUUGUGAUAAUAGUUCAACUAUUAAACUCUCCAGGAAUCCAAUUUUACAUGGAAGAAGCAAGCAUAUAGAUGUGAGGUAUCAUUUCCUUCGUGAUCUUGUAGCUGAAGAAACCAUUGAUUUGGUUUAUUGUCGAAGUGAAGACCAAGUUGCAGAUAUCCUGACCAAACCUCUAAAGCUGGAAGCAUUUGAGAAGUUGCGUGGAUUACUUGGAGUUUGUUCAAGUUCCUUUUUAAACUAACUGCAUAGAUGGCAUUCAGUUUAAGGGAGGGUGUUAAGAUGAAGACGAUUAUGUGCAGGAAAAUUUUCACCAUAAGGCACUUCACUGGCAAUAGCGUAGCGUAUAUAAUAUAAGGAUGCAAACAAAUUCACCUCUAGGGUAUAACAACAACUUAAGAACACGCAUAAUUACAAUUGCUUUAUAUUUAAUUUAUAAAACAGAAAUACCGCAAAUACAUGGAAACAAACUCAGACUGUUUCGAAGUUCUUUCCUACGACAAUACCGAUGCAAACAGGUAAACAAAUCGUAAUGGGCUACGUGCCUCUCUUGACAAAUCCUAAAAUCAUGUGUUUGGGUCAAGGUUUUAGGACAACGACUACGUACCUCUCUUGACAUCAUUAAUUCAUAUUGAAUGCAAAGGUAUCAGAUAAAUACGUACUCAUUUUUCGAAGCAACACGCAUAUUAGGUUGUAAGAAACCAUAUGUGAUAUGCGCUUGUACUCUUUAUCUGUAACAUCCACAGGUACCACAAAGAUUUUUCGCAAUCGUUCCAUCCCAUACCCCUCAAGAUACUUGUGCAGUGCAGGUCAUGGAAUGACCGCACAGUGAUUGUCGUAGCUGAUGGAUCCUUUUGCCAUUCCACCUCAACCCAAUCAAUAUUCGAUUUUUGUUUUCCAACCAAGAUGAUUGUACACAAAUUGGCACCUUACGUGCAUCAGUUUGAAAUCAUCCAUGUUCUUGGCCACAUGAGCCACUCGAAAGUACCUGAGAAUCUUUCCUACAACAAUACAGAUGCAAACAUAUAAACAAAUCUUAUUCGGCUAAAUUAAGUCUAUGUUUAUUUAAAUAUAGCAUUAGCAUAUUAUUUACAAAUAGUCAUAUGAAAGUAAUACAACUACACAAACACAUUCCAAAAAAUAUAGUACGAUUUUAAAAUUACAUUUUGGACUUCUACACAUCAUAAAAACAAACAUGUGGUGUCUAAUAAAAUUGUAGACACAUUUCAAUAAUCAAACACAUCACAGAGAUGCAAUUUUACUGUACUACAUUUAAAACACGACAUUUUCGGUUAAGUUUAUUAAUAUAGUUCUAUAUGUAUACUGUAAUUUCAAUUAAGCGACAUUAUUUCGACAAUGAGAUAUUCAAUUCACUCUAAUUCAUGUACAUAGAUACAAAUGCAAACACAAACAGAUAAUCUCACAAAGUUUUUUCUGCAACUAAAGAGAUGAAAUAUACGGAUUUAGAUUGUUGGAAAAAUUCAAUAAUUAUACUCAUAAUAUUCAUAUGAAAUUAAGUAAAUAAAUUAUACCCGAAACACAUCAAUUAUACACAAUAACUAAUACAAUAAAUACGUAUGAAAAAGGUUAGGAAUAUCUGGCAUGUAAUGUCAGGAGAGGCACGUAGUCGCUGUCCUAAAGCCAUAGACGUCUUCCUAAAACCAUGUGUUUGGGUCAAAGUUUUAGGACAACAACUAUGUAGCUCUCUUGACAUCAUUAAUUCAUAUUGAAUACAAGGGUAUUGGAUAAAUACAUACUCAUUUUUUGGAGCAACCCGCACAUUAGAAAGUAAGCCACUUUUUUUAUGUGCGUUUACUCUUUAUCAGUAACAUCCGCACUGUGGUCGUUCCAUCUCGUACCCCUCCGGGUACUUGUGUAGGUCAUGGAAUGACUGCACAAUGAUUGUCUUAGCUAGGGCUGGCAAUGGGUCGUGUCAUGUCAAGAUUAUAUACGUGUCAAUAAUUAAAACAUAACUACUAAAUAAAGGAAUUCAAAAAGAGAAAUUCAAAUUAUGAUAUUUCAAGGGUAUAGCCGUACGGCUAUACGUUUAAAUAUUAUGUUAAUGGAGCCUUACCAAAACAAAUUUAUGUCCGGAGUGCUAAAUUGAAUCAAUAAAUUUGUGAUCAUGAAAAUAGUUUAGUAAUUCGCUUACUCACUUGAGAAGUUAUUUUAUUGCUUCUGUACAUAUCCACAUGACAUGUUGAUGUGAUUUAUCAAAAAAUUUCUCAAAUUAUUAUAAUUCGUGCACAAUAAUUAUAAAAUUCAAAUUUUACACAAAUUCUCACAUAUUAUUCAAUAAGAAUAACAUAUGGAAUAAAAAUUCUAUUAAAACAUCAAAUAAAGGAAGAUUAAUAUCUACUUUUUUUCAAAAAAAAAAAAGAUUAAUAUCUACUUUAUUUUAUUUUUUCAAAAAAAGGUGUACAGCCGCACGGCUAUACUCCAUGUUUUUUAUUUUUUUUUAAAAGACAUGUGCUGACACGGGACGCCACAUGGCUGGAGUCCUUUUUAUAAUUAAAAAUAGUAUCGCCGCACGGCUAUACUCAGCUUUGAAAUAUUUUUAAAAAAGACAAGUGUUCACACGUGGCGCCAAAUAGUUGGGGGACCCUUUUUAUAUUUAAAAAUAGUAUAGCCGCGCGGCUAUACUCAGUUUUGACCCUUUUUUCAGACCACAAGUGUUGACACGUGGCGCCAAAUGGCUCGGGGACCUUUUUUAUAAUAAAAAUAGUACAGCCGCGCGGCUAUACUUAGUUUUGAACCUUUUUAAGCACACAAGUGUUGACACGUGGCACCAAAUGGUUGGGGGACACUUUUUAUAUUAAAAAUAGUAUAGCCGCGCGGCUAUACUCAGUUUUGAACCUUUUUUAAGAACACAAGUGUUGACACGUGGCACCAAAUGGUUCGGGGACCUUUUUUAUAAUAAAAAAAAUACAGCCGCGCGGCUAUACUCAGUUUUGAACCUUUUUAAGCACACAAGUGUUGACACGUGGCGCCAAAUGGUUGGGGGACCCUUUUUAUAAUAAAAAUAUUAUAGCCGGGCGGCUAUACUCAGUGUUGAAACAUUAUUCAAAACACAAGUGUUGACACGUGGCGCCAAAUGGUUGGGGGACUUUUUUUAUAUUAAAAAUAGUACAGCCGCCCGGCUAUACUCAGUUUUGAAAUUUUUUUUAAGAACACAAGUGUUGACACGUAGCGCCAAAUGGUUGGGGGACCUUUUUUAUAAUUAAAAUAGUAUAGCUGCGCGGCUAUACUCAGUUUUGAAACAUUUAUUCAUAACACAGGUGUUGACACGUGGCGCCAAAUGGUUGGGGGACCUUUUUUAUAUUAAAAAUCGUAUAGCCGAACGGCUAUACUCAGUUUUGAAAUUUUGUAAAAGACAAGUGUUGACACGUGGCACCAAACGGUUGGGGGUCCUUUUUACAUUAAAAAUGGUAUAGCCGCGGCUAUACUCAGUCUAAAUUUUUUUGAAAACAAAAGUGUUGACACGUGGCACCAAAUGGUUGGGGGACCUUUUUUUUUAUUUAAAAUAGUAUAGCCGCGCGGCUAUACGUAGUCUUCAAAUUUUUUAAAAAAUAGUAUAGCCGCACGGCUAUCCUCAGUUUUGAAACAUUUUCAAAAAGGACAAGUGUUGACACGUGUCACCAAAUUGUUGGGGGUCUUUUUUUAUAUUAAAAAUAGUAUAGCCGAGUGGCUAUACUUAGUUUUGAAAUAUUUUUUAAAAAGACAAGUGUUGACACGAGGCGCCAAAUGGUUAGGGACCUUUUUUAUAUUAAACAUAGUAUAGCCGCACGGCUAUACUCAGUUUUGAAACAUUUUUAAAAAAGACAAGUGUUCACACGUGGCACCAAAUGGUUGGGGGUCCUUUUUUAUAUUAAAAAUAGUAUAGCCGAUCGGCUAUACUCAGUUUUGAAAUUUUUUUUAAAGGACAUGUGUUGACACGUGGCUCCAAAUGGUUGAGGGAACUGUUUUAUAUUUAAACAUAGUAUAGCCGCACGGCUAUACUCAGUUUUGAAACAUUUUUUAAAAAGACAAGUGUUGACACGUGGCACCAAAUGGUUGGGGGACCUUUUUUAUAUUAAAAAUGGCAUAGCCGCACGGCUAUACUCAGUUUUGAAACAUUUUUUAAAAAGACAAGUCUUGACACGUGGCGCCAAAUGGUUGGGCACCCUUUUUACAUUAAAAAUAGUAUAGCCGCGCGGCUAUACUCAGUCUUGAAAUUUUUUUAAAAAAUACGUGUUGACACGUGGCUCCAAAUGGUUGAGGAAACUUUUUUAUAUUAAAAAUAGUAUAGCCGGUUUAGAAAUAUUUUUUAAGAACACAAGUGUUGACACGUGGCGCCAAAUGGAUGGGUGGCCUUUUUUAUAUUAAAAGUAGUAUAGCCGCGCGGCUAUACUCAGUUUUGAAAUAUUUUUUAAAAAGACAAGUGUUGACACGUAGCUCCAAAUGGUUGGGGGACCUUUUUCAUAUUAAAAAUAGUAUAGCCGCCGGGGUAUACUUAGUUUUGAAAUUUUUUUUACAAGCCAUGUGUCCACCUGCCUCCAAAUGGUUGAGGGAACUUUUUUACACUUAAAAUAGUAUAGCCACCCGGCUAUACUCAGUUUUUCAAAAUAAUAUAUAUACAUAGUAUAGGCAAGAGGUGUUACUAUAGUCUUUUACAUAUGUAUUCACACAUAUAUAUAUAUAUACAAAUAAUUCUCACAUAUUAUUGAAUAAGAAUAACAUAUGGAAUAAGAAUUGUAUUAAAACAUCACAUAGAGGAAGAUUAAUAUCUACUUUGGUUCUUCUUUAUUUAUUUAUGUUUAAAAGGUGUACAGCCACCCGGCUAUACUCUAUGUUUUUGAUUUUUUUAAACAGACAUGUGCAGAUACGUGGCGCCACAUGGCUGGAGUCUUUUUUAUAAUUAAAAAAUAUUAUAGCCGCGCGGCUAUACUCAGUUUCGAAACAUUUUUUAAAAAUACACGUGGCACUAAAUGGUUGGGGGUCCUUUUUUAUAUUAAAAAUAGUAUAGCCGAACGGCUGUACUCAAUCUUGAAACAAAAGUAUUGACACGUGGCACCAAAUGGUUGGGGGACCUUUUUUUUAAAAAAAUAGUAUCGCCGCGCGGCUAUACUCAGUCUUCAAAGUUUUUUGAACAAUACAUGUGCUGACACGUGGCUUCAAAUGGUUGGGGGAACCGUUUUGUAUUAAAAAUACCAUAGCCGAACGGCUAUACACAGUUUUGAAAUAUUUUUUAAGAACACAAAUGUUGACACGUGGCGCCAAAUGGAUGGGUGACCUUUUUUAUACUAAAAAUAGUAUAGCCGAGCGGCUAUACUUAGUUUUCAAAUAUUUUUUAAAAAGACAAGUGUUGACACGUGGCGCCAAAUGGUUGGGGGACAUUUUUUAUUUUAAAAAUAGUAUAGCCGCACGGCUAUACUCAAUUUUGAAACAUUUUUCAAAAAGACAAGUGUUGACACGUGGCGCCAAAAAGACAAGUGUUGACACGUGGGUCCAAAUGGUUGGGGAAACUUUUUUAUAUUAAAAAUAGUAUAGCCAAAUGGCUAUACUCAGUUUUGGAAUAUUUUGUAAGAACACAAAUGUUGACACGUCGCGCCAAAUGGUUGGGGGACUUUUUUUAUAUUAUAAAUAGUACAGCCGGACGGCUAUACUCAGUAUUGAAAUAGUAGAGCCGCUCAAAACUGGUUGACACGUGGCACUAAAUGGUUGGGGGUCCUUUUUUAUAUUAAAAAUAGUAGAGCCGCUCGGCUAUAGUCAGCCUUGAAUUUUUUUUGAAAAAUACAUGCGUUGACACGUGGCUCUAAAUAGUUGGGGGAACUGUUUUAUAUUAAAAAUAUAUAGCCGCACGGCUAUACUCAGUUUUGAAAUAUUUUUUAAGAACACAAAUGUUGACACGUGGCGCCAAAUGGAUGGGUGACCUUUUUUAUACUAAAAAUCGUAUAGCCGCGCGGCUAUACUUAGUUUUGAAAUAUUUUUUAAAAAGGCAAGUGUUGACACGUGGCGCCAAAUGGUUGGGGGACAUUUUUUAUAUUAAAAAUAGUAUAGCCGCGCGGCUAUACUCAGGUUUGAAUUUUUUUUAAAAAGGUCAUGUGUUGACACGUGGCUCCAAAUGUUUGGGGAACUGUUUUAUAUUAAAAAUAGUAUAGCCGAACGGCUAUACUCAGUUUUGAAAUAUUUUUUCAAAACACAAGUGUUGACACGUGGCGCCAAAUGGGUGGGUGACCUUUUUUAUAUUAAAAAUAGUAUCGCCGCGCAGCUAUACUCUGUUUUGAAAUAUUUUUUAAAAAGACAAGGGUUGACACGUGGCGCCAAAUGGUUGGGGGACCUUUUUUAUAUUAAAAAUAGUAUAGCCGCGCGGCUAUAGUCAGUUUUGAAACAUUUUUUAAAAAGACAAGUGUUGACACGCGGCACCAAAUGGUUGGGGGUCCUUUUUUAUAUUAAAAAUAGUAUAGCCACGCGGCUAUACUCAGUGUUGAAAUUUUUUUGACAACACAAAUGUUGACAUGUGGCACCAAAUGGUUGGGGACCUUUUUUACAUUAAAAAUCGUAUAGCCGCGCGGCUAUACUCAGUCCUGAAAUUUUUUUAAAAAUACACGUGUUGAGACGUGGCUCCAAAUGGUUGGGGAAACUUUUUUAUAUUAAAAACAGUAUAGCCGAACGGCUAUACUCAGUUUUGAAAUAUUUUUUAACAACACAGAUGUUGACACGUGGCGCCAAAUGGAUGGGUGACCUUUUUUAUAUUAAAAAUAGUAUAGCCGCACGGCUAUACACAGUUUUGAAAUAUUUUUUAAAAAGGCAAGUGUUGACGCGUGGCUCCAAAUGGUUGGGGGACCUUUUUCAUAUUAAAAAGAGUAUAGCCGCCCGGCUAUACCCAGUUUUGAAAUUUGUUUUACAAGCCAUGUGUCCACCUGGCUCCAAAUGGUUGGGGGAACUUUUUUACACUUAAAACAGUAUAGCCGCCCGGCUAUACUCAGUUUUGAAAAAAAAUAUAUAUAUAGUAUAGGGGAGAGGUGUUACUGGUUUUUUUUUUGUUUAAAAAAAUUGAAUUUAAGAAAUAGUAUAGACGAGAGACUAUAGUCUUUUACAUAUGUAUUCACAUAUAUAUAUAUAUAUACAAAUAAUUCUCAUAUAUUAUUGAAUAAGAAUAACAUAUGGAAUAAAAAUUGUAUUAAAACAUCACAUAGAGGAAGAUUAAUAUCUACUUUGGUUCUUCUUUAUUAUUAUUAUUUUUAAAAAGGUGUACAGCCGCACGGCUAUACUCUAUAUUUUUUUUAUUUUUUUAAAAAGACAUGUGCAGACACGUGGCGCCACAUGGCUGGAGUCUUUUUUAUAAUUUAAAAAUAGUAUAGCCGCGCGGCUAUACUCAGUUUUGAAAUUUUUUAAAAAAGGACUUGUGUUGACACGUGGCUCCAAAUAGAUAGGGAACUUUUUUAUAUUAAAAAUAGUAUAGCCGCUCGGCUAUACGCAGUUCUGAAACAUUUUUUAAAAAGACAAGUGUUGACACGUGGCACUAAAUGGUUGGGGGUCGUUUUUUAUAUUUAAAAAUAGUAUAGCCGGACUUCUAUACUCAGUUUUGGAACAUUUUUUAAAAAGACAAGUGUUGACACGUGGCACUAAAUGGUUGGGGGAACUUUUUUAUAUUAAAAAUAGUAUAGCCGGACGGCGAUACCCUGAUAUAUAUAUUUUUUUAAACAACUACAAUUGCAGAACCUGUCAAGUUCUUGAUGGAAUCACACAUCACGUGCAUAUUUAAAGAAAUAGUAUAGCUGCGCAGCGUAAAUUACUUAUCGAAAAUUUAUGCACGCUGGAAACUGUUGUUUUGAGACAUGAAAUCAGUUUCUGGUUUAUGUAUGUAGAUUGGUUUUGCUCUGAAGAAGCUGUUUACCGAUGGGGCUGUGAAGCGUGAGGACUUAUGGAUCACCUCCAAACUCUGGUUUGUUUGAAACUCUGCUUAAGUUUUGUAGUCUUCAAUUUAUCAUCUCAAAAUUCCAACUUUACCAUCAAAUGCUAAGUUGAAAUCAGAAUUAUCUGCAGGUGUACUGAUCAUGAACCAGAUGAUGUGCUUGACUAUCUGGAUCUCUAUCUUGUAAGUGCACAAGUUUAAGAUUUACCCUUAUAGUAAAUGUACCUUGAAGAUGUCACCUAGAAAUGUAUGUUUUAUUGGAGGUAAAAUGAAAUUAAUUAAUCACAUGCCUUGGACUGACUAAUCAAAACAAAUUUUUGAAGAUACAUCAACUUUCGGAGUCUCACUAGCACAUUUAUUUUGUUCUGAUGUAUGCAUAAAGUAAUAUUGCAAUUGCUUAUUUGUAAUCUUGGUAGAUCCACUGGCCAGUGAGCAUGAAAAAGGGGUCAGUUGGCUCUGAUCCUCAAAACCUUACCCAACCUAAUAUACCCAGUACAUGGAAAGCAAUGGAGGCACUCUUUCACUCUGGCAAGGCCAGGGCUAUUGGAGUCAGCAACUUCUCUUCAAAGAAGCUUGGAGAUCUGUUAGAGGUGGCACGAAUACCUCCAGCUGUUAAUCAAGUGGAAUUGCACCCUCACUGGCAGCAACCGAAGCUGCACACUUUCUGUAAAUCUAAGGGAGUUCAGUUAUCUGUGAGUAUGCGGAGACAAAGUCUUUUAUUGUUACACAUGACUUCUGUGAAUAAUUUGGGAACAGAAUAGGCUAGAUUUUCAUUUUUGUGGUUCCUGAACCUCAGCAUUGGCUAAUUAGUGAUGUAUUUUUGUGAUGAAUAAUCUUAUUCCAGGCUAUUGUCCAUUGGCAAGGAAUAAGGUCCUUAAGAAUUUAAUUGUGAACUUGGUGGCAGAAAAACUGGGCAAUACUCCUGCCCAAGUGACUCUUCGAUGGGGGUUACAAAUGGGUCACAGUGUAGUGCCUAAAAGCACGAAUCAGGCAAGGAUACAGGAAAGCUUUGAUAUUUUUACCCGACGACUUGUUUGCCAAAUUCUCUGAAAUUAAGCAGGCAAGUGCCUUUUCCUUUUCUCCCCCCUUCUUUUCAUUCUUUCUUUGUUCUAGUUUCGGUGCGUGCUUGUCAAGAGGGCUUUAGUUUCUUUUGGACGGUCGAUUUUAACUUUCUUUGUAAUUGAUGAUGCAGGUGAAGCUUGUUCCAGGAACUGGUUUUGUACAUGAGACUUUGGGUGCGUACAGGACCCUUGAAGAACUGUGGGAUGGCGAGUUGUGAGCAGAACCUAGGUCCUGUUUCAAUGGUUUAUAACUUUAUACCUAAUGUGCAAGUGCAACCGCACCAAAACUAGAAUUGUAUGAACUAUUGAUUCUGCCAUUAAAAUCUAAGUGAUGAGUAUAUAGUGAUGUGAGAGGUGGAAUUGUUGCAUGUUCAAUCUCCUUCACCUGCUUGUUUUUAGCUCAAUAUAGAAGACAAUCAAUUUCUGAUGCUUUCCUCCUUAUUUCAAAAUUACUAGUGCUUUAUGCCUAAGUAUAAAGGCUUGAUCAUAAAAUUGGUGUCCUAUCAUCAAAUUAUAGAAUGCACUAGAGGGAUGGUGUGCAAUUUGUCAACAAUUUACAUCAAGAACGUCCAUUCUAUUCUUGUAUUCAUUGAUGUAAUUUUUUCAAUAAAGAAUUUAGGUUUUUUUUUUUUGGUAAUUUAUUAUUUGCACUCCAAAAUAUUGAUCAUGCACUCUCAUUAAUAAAAUAUUCACUUGCAAUUAAAAAAAAUUUGAUGUGUACCAUUAUUGUUUUUCUAUUGCAAAAAGGUAGACUUUUUAAAUAUAAAAAAAUACAAGCGAUAGCCUAAACUACAACUAAGAGCAAAAUUUCUCACUCACACAUGUGUUAUCAAUGUGUUACGGAUAUGGAAGUUAAAAGGUAGGCAAAUUUUUUUUUUUGUUUGAGGACCUUUCCUAUUAAGAGGGGCGAUAACAUACUAAACUCACACACACUACACAAAUGAUAUUAAAGAGUAGUGUAGUGUAAAUUCCGGAAAUGGCUUAAGGCUUUGUUUGGUUACCAGGAAAUGAGAUCAAGAUUUGAAUGUUUUUGUGCUUUUCCCAAAAGGGGAAAUCAAGCCUCUUUAGAUUGCCUGUUUGAUUCGGUAAACUUAGCAUCGACUAAAAAUGUGGCUAUACUAAUUGCAGGCAGGAUAUCGGCAUAUUGAUUGUGCUCAACUCUAUGCCAAUGAGAAGGAGGUAAUUUAUAGUUGUUUGUUUUUUAUGUAUACUAAAUUAGUUAUCGAAAAAUUUACUGUAGUUGUAGUUUUCAUUUCAUUAUUGCUGUCAAUCUUUAUUUAUUUUUUAAUAAUCCCUUUAUGAAUUUGUGCAUGUUGAAAAUUGCUCUCAGUAACUCCUACCAUAAUGGUUUAAUUGUCAAGUUCAUCUUUAGGUUUUCAAUUGUAGAUAAAAAUGUAAAUCGUUUAUGUUUCCAUCAUUCUUUCAAGAUGUUUAACUUGUUACCCGAAUAUAUGGUUUGAUAAAGAUGCUGUUUCUGUUUCUCGUAGAUUGGUUCUGUCUGAAGAAGCUAUUUGAAGAUGGUGCGGUGAAGCGUGAGGAUUUGUGGAUUACUUCCAAACUCUGGUUCGUUCUAACUUAUAAAUUUAAUUCUAAUUUAAUUGAGUAUUGACAUAUCAUUAGGAAUUGCAUAAGUAGUAAUUUAUGCUAAAGUGAUGGUGCUGCCAACCUUGUUUGGUUUAUCCACAGGUGUACUGAUCAUGCACCAGAAGAUGUACCAGAGGCAUUGGACAGGACUUUGAGAGACUUGCAGCUCGAUUAUGUUGACUUGUAUCUUGUAUGUAUUACCUGUUCAGAGCUUCUCAAGUUUUGUCUCUUAGAGUUUGGUACUAGGGUGUAUGUAUUAUCUGAUCUUUCUCAGCGAUUCAGUAUAGAUAAAUCUGUGCCAUGCCCAGUUCAGGGUAUAAUCUGCAAUUUCCUUUUUUAAAGAAAAAAUUUACAUACAGCAUAAAGGAAUGGGAUGGCAAUUUGUUUACCAUCUUUUAAUAUAUAAGUUACUUUUGAAUUCAUUGAUCCCCUUUCAGUCUAGUUAUGUUUCCUGGAAUUUGCUAAAACUUAUCAAGUUAAAAUCAUGGAUAAUUAGCCUCGUUGUCUUAAAUUAGUUAUAGCAUUUGGGCAUUAUUCAGUUGUAACUAAUGAGCCUGCUGAAAAUUUGAACAUACACUGGCCAGCCAGGAUGAAGAAGGGGUCAGUAGGUUUUAAGCAUGAAAACCUUAUUGACCCAGAUAUCCCUGCAACUUGGAGAGCAAUGGAAUCACUCUAUGAUUCGGGAAGGCUCGAGCUAUUGGCGUGAGCAAUUUUGUUAGAAUAUGCAGACCAUUAUCUUGCAUAUUAAUUCAAUCAACCAUGUAAUAGGUUUCAAAGAAAAUGCAGAGAGUUUUAGAGAAUAGAGAGAGAGCUUGGAGAAGAAGCUGGCUAUGUGAAUUAGCUCAGCACCAAAAUCAUGCAUAUACUGUGACUCUGACAAAACCGUUAGAGAAGAGAUAUUUCCUAUUACAUCACUCAAUCUUAGCCAUUUAAUCAUUACCCUAUGAGAUAAUGACAAGUGGCAUAAGCUAUUACAUUCUCUGCUGUACACUUGGACUAUGAUCCAACGCAGCCUUUCUAACUAGAAUAGAACCUUCCUAUUCUAAUUGCAUUUCAGCAGCCACACUUAUACACCAACACUCCCUUCUAAGUGUUGUGCUGAAAUAACUCCUAGAGCUUUCCUCAAAUACUAAAAUCUAUCUCUUGCUAAAGACUUGGUGAAAAUGUCAGCAAGCUGCUCUUCAGUCUUGCAAUAUAGCAAAUCGAUCUCACCAUUUUGAAGAGCAUCUCUUAUGAAGUGAAACCUGCGGUUGAUGUGUCUGGUUUUGUGAUGAUGAACAGGAUUCUUCGAUAUAGCAAGAGCUGAAGUGUUGUCACACAACAACUGAGUUGGUUCUACCUGUUCCUCUCCAAAAUCUGAUAACACAAACCUCAGCCACAUAACUUGUGCAGUAGCUUCUGCUGCAUUCAUGUACUCAGCCUCUGCUGUAGACAGAGCAACACUGCUUUGCUUGAUUGAAGCCCAAGAAAAUACACCUGACCCCAAGUUGAAUGCAUAGCCUGAUGUGCUCAUCAUGUCAUCUUCACUUCCACUCCAAUCACUAUCACAGUAACCUAUUAGCACUGCUCCUUUUCCCUUCUCAUAAGCAAUUCCAUAGCUUAUAGUGCCUUGAAUAUAUCUCAACACUCUCUUUGCUGUUCCCAUGUGCUUCUUGGUUGGAUUAUGCAUGAAUCUAGCCAAGAGACUUGCUGCAAACAUGAUAUCUGGUCUGGUUGCAGUCAGGUAGAGCAAGCUUCCCACCAUUUGCCUAUACAAAGUCUCAUCUGCUAGUUCACUUCCAUCCACUUUUGAAAACUUUUCAUUCACUGCCAGUGGUGUUGCAACAGACUUGCAAUCCUUAAGUCCAAACUUGUCAAGUAAGGUCUUUGCAUACUUCUUCUGGUGUAGGAAGAUGCAAGCAUCAGUUUGCAGGACUCCAAGACCAAGGAAGUGAUGAAGCAGUCCUAGGUCAAUCAUUUCAUAUUGUCUCAUCAUAUCAUUCUUGAAUGCAGCCAUCAUUUCUUCUGAACUUCCUGUGUAGAUAAUGUCAUCUACAUAUAGGGACACAAUGAGAUUUUCACUUGUAGACAUCUUAGUGUACAAUGUAGCUUCACUUGGACUUCUAUAAAAACCAGUUUUGAUGGUGAAAUAGGAAUUUAUCUCUUCAUACCAAGCUCUUGGAGCUUGUUUCAAACCAUAUAAGGCCUUUUUCAGCUUAUACACCUUAUCUUCACUUCCUUGUAUCACAAAGCCAGAUGGUUGAUCCACAUACACUUCUUCAUUUAGCACUCCAUUAAGAAAUGCUGACUUUACAUCCAACUGAAACAGUCUCCAGUUUCUCGGUGCGGCUACAGCCACCAAGGUUCUUACAGUAUCAAGCCGAGCCACUGGUGCAAAGGUCUCAUUGAAGUCUCUAUUCCAGGCUUUUGAGAAUAUCCCUUUGCAACCAGCCGAGCCUUAUUCUUCUGCACAGAUCCAUCUAGGUUCAGUUUAGUCUUAUAGAUCCAUUUGAUUCCAAUGAUUGGUUUAUCAAAUGGUCUAUCCACAAGCUCCCAUGUAUUGUUCUUUUCAAUCAUGGUGAUUUCAUCUUCCAUUGGUUUCUUCCAAGAGUCAUCCUUUGCUGCCUCUUCAAAACUUUCUGGUUCUAUAAUGCACAUGUUGCAUUUUUCAUAAAUUUCUGCAAUGCUCUUGUACUUGAGAAAAGUAUUAUCAACAUCCUGUGAUCCUGUGACCCUUUCUAGGUCACUGGUUUCAGUGUUUAAGCUAGGCAUCUCAUUCACUUCCAAUUGUUCUUCAAAUUCACAAGAACUCCCUUUUGCUCCUUGUUCUUCUUCUCUGAUUUCAGUGAGCUGAAUGUUCACACUAGUUUCCUUCUUUGCAUUCCAAUCCCAACACUCAUUCUCACUAAAUAUCACAUCUCUUGAAACAAUUACUUUUCCAGUUUCAAUAUUGUACAGCCUGUAUCCUUUCUCACAGCUGCCAUACCCCAGAAAAAUACACAUCUUGCUUGCCAAAUCUAGUUUCUGUCUUUGCUGUUUUGGUACAUGAGCAUAACACAAUGAACCAAAUACCUUUAGAUGCUUAACUCCUGGUUUCCUCCCACUAUAAGCCUCAAAUGGUGUCCUUUUACUCAAAGCUUUAGUUGGACACCUAUUCAAAAUAUACACAGAUAUGUUGACUGCCUCAGCCCAGAAGUCAAAUGGAAUUUUCUUCUCCAACAGCAAACACUUGGCCAUUUCUACUAUAGUUCUAUUCUUUCUCUCUGCCACACCAUUUUGCUGUGGUGUGUAUGGAGUUGUAAGCUGCCUUUCAAUGCCUGCAUUAUCACAGAACCUGUCAAACUCCACUGAAGUGUAUUCUCCCCCUCUGUCACUUCUCAAUUUUUUUAGUUUGUAACCACUUUGCAAUUCCACAGUGGCUUUGAAUUUCUUAAACACAUUUAGAGCUUCUGACUUGUGCCUUAAGAAAUAAACCCAACACAUCCUUGUGCAAUUGUCAAUGAAAGUGAGAAAAAACCUAUUUCCAGCUUUGGUAACUGUCUGCAUAGGACCACAGAUGUCACUGUGAAUAAGUUCUAGUGGAGUUGAUGCUCUAGUGGUAGCUUCUUUUGGAAAUGCUUCUCUACUCUGCUUGCCUAGAACACAACCCUCACAAACCUCUUUAACUUCUUUAAUUUCUGGCAGCCCUACUACCAUAUCUUGCUCUUUCAACAGUUUCAGACUACUCAUAGAUGUCCAAAACUUCUAUGCCAGAGGUCAGUGGAAUGGUUUACACCUGCUCUAUAAGCUAAGUGCAUUUCAGCCUGCAAUUUUAAAGGAAAGCUUCUAUUUCCUUUCAUUUGAACUUUUGCCACCAGAUUUGUAUGAGAGCUGUCAUUGUAGAUUUCCACCUUGUGAUCUCCAAAUACCAAAUAGUAGCCAUGCUCUAUCAUCUGUCCCACACUGAGUAAGUUCUCUUUCAAUCCAGGUACAAGCAUUAUUUCUUUGAUAUGUCUCUUGCCUGCUUUGGUUUCAACCACAAAAGUGCCAUUUCCAGUUACCUCUACAAGCUGUCCAGUUCCCAUUUCAACCUUGGCAGUCACAUUUCUGUCAAUAUCCACCAGCAAAUCCUCUUUUCCUGUCAUGUGAUUACUACACCCACUGUCCAAAUACCAGAUCUCUUCAUCCCUUGUUACACCAGCACCACUUGCAUUGCUAGCAUAGAACAUUGUUGGUGCAGCUUCCACUUGAGUAGCAUAGUUGACCUGCUGUGGUGUUUUCUUGCUGUAGCAGUCUUUUGCAAUGUGGCCAAGCUUAUCACAAUUAUAACACUUUGGCUUGCCCUUGAAUCGACAUUCACCAAAAUGUAGCUCACCACAGUGCUUGUAGGGAGUUUUAGUGCCUUCACUUGCCUUGUUAUCCCACUUCUUGCCUUUGGAUUUCCAAUUUUUAUUCUGCUUGCUGUUUUGUUCUCCAGUUUUAGUCUGUUUGGCAUCUACACUAAGGCUAGCAAAUGCCUUCUCUGUUUUGUUUUCAGAAUGCCUAUCUAAACGCAACUCAAAGCUCUUUAGUGAGGCUACAACCUCCUGCACCUCAAUCUCAUUCAGAUCUCUAGAGUGUUCAAUAAUUGAACAGAUAGAGUCAUAGGUAGAUGGCAGACUAAUAAGCAGUUUUUGAACAAUUCUCUCCCUAGGCAAUUCCUCCCCAUAACUUCUCAUUUGAUUUAUCAAAUCAAAUAGUUUAGUAACAUAGGCAGUUAAGGAUUCAUCAUCCUUCAUUCUUGUAUAUUCAAAUUCUCUUCUAAGACCUUGCAAUUUAACACUCCUUACCUACUUAUCUCCAUGGAAUUCUUGCUGCAGAAUACUCCAGGCACCUUUUGAUGUUUCUUCAUGAGAGAUUCGUGGGAAUAUCUCUUCUGAAACUGCUCCUUGAAUCAAUCCAAGAGCCUUAGCAUCCUUCAUGAGUACCUCAGCAACUAUGCCUUUCUCACUUGAUUCUUCUGUCUCCUUUUUCUUAUCAUCAGAUUCAUCUGACUUCUUCAGAUCCGUACCAUCAAAUCCUUUUAUCACCAAAUCCCACAGUCCAUGAGAUUUGAAGAUGGUCUUUAUCCUUAUGCUCCAGAAAUCGUAGUUCUCACCAUUGAAAAUUGGUGCUCUCAAUUCACCACCACUUGACCCAGCCAUGUUAGACUCACAUCUGCAGAACUCAAGCUCAGCUGCAACUUCAAUAGCUUAGCACAGAAAAACGCCCAGUAUUACUUGAUCAAACCUGGCUCUGAGGCCAUGUUAGAAUAUGCAGACCAUUAUCUUGCAUAUUAAUUCAAUCAACCAUGUAAUAGGUUUCAAAGAAAAUGCAGAGAGUUUUAGAGAAUAGAGAGAGAGCUUGGAGAAGAAGCUGGCUAUGUGAAUUAGCUCAGCACCAAAAUCAUGCAUAUACUGUGACUCUGACAAAACCGUUAGAGAAGAGAUAUUCCCUAUUACAUCACUCAAUCUUAGCCAUUUAAUCAUUACCCUAUGAGAUAAUGACAAGUGGCAUAAGCUAUUACAUUCUCUGCUGUGCACUUGGACUAUGAUCCAACGCAGCCUUUCUAACUAGAAUAGAACCUUCCUAUUCUAAUUGCAUUUCAGCAGCCACACUUAUACACCAACAAAUUUCUCUACAAACAAGCUGUCAGAUUUGCUGGAUAUUGCACGUGUUCCUCCUGCUGUUGACCAAGUGGAGUUUCAUCCUUCAUGGCAGCAGGCCAAGCUGCGUUCUUUCUGUAAAUCCAAGGGUGUUCAUCUUUCUGUGAGUAUGCAAAUACUGAAUUACGUUGUCUGUGUAUUGAGUAGUGACAACUCACCUGUCUGUAAUUGGACCAAAUUUUAAUUUAAGCAUGUUCAUAUUUUUCUUUCAGGGAUAUUCACCACUGGGUUCUCCUGGAACAACAUGGAUUAAAAGCGAAGUCCUUAAGAAUCUAAUUCUUCUCACUGUUGCUGAGAAAUUAGGCAAAACUCCUGCACAAGUUGCUCUUAGAUGGGGACUGCAAAUGGGUCAUAGUGUUCUUCCUAAAUGUACUAAUGAAGCAAAGAUCAAGGAGAACCUUGAUGUUGGCUGGUCUAUCCCAGAGGACUUGUUUCCCAAGUUUUCUGAAAUUGAGCAGGUAAGUUUUUUACAGGAAUUGAUCCUCUAUUCUCCUUGCAAUCAGUACCUUGAUGUCUUUGUAUGGUCAGUUGUGCCAUAACACCAUUAAAUACAUUCCAACAUUAUUCCAUGUAUGGUUCUUCAAAUGGGCCUUUCUGGAGCCGGGGAUUACGUCUUGAGAUUUCAUCUUGUUGAUAAUGUUGAUACAAGCACUGAUGUCAUGCAGUCUUUUCUCCUAACUACAUUGAUUUCCAAUUGUGCAGGCAAGGCUGAUCAGAGGGGGCUCGUAUGUUCAUGAUACUUUUGGUCCCUACAGGAGCAUAGAGGAGUUCUGGGAUGGUGAAAUCUAGAAAAUCACAUGAAUGUUUUUGUGAAAGAGAGUCUAGGAGCAUUUGUUACGCGAAAAAAUGAACUUUUAUGAUUUGUAUGGAUCGUUUAUGUCCUAAAAAGCGAUUUGCUUGAUUAUGGUACUUGCACUUCUCUGUGUUUUGUUUACAUGAAGAAUACGACCACUUCUUACUACUAUACCCAUAAAUCUUUGUUUGAAAUUGUUGUUCUGGUUGGCAAAGAGAUUGCAAAAUCACCGUCAUGCAAUUUUGUUACAACAAGUAAGAAAUAAUCUUAGCCUCUUACAUUCUUUCAAAGUUAGUAAAAUACGGAACGGGAAAAAUACGAAUAAAAUAUGCAGUGUUUUAUUUGACAAAAUUUUUGUAAGUUACAACUGAAAAGUUCAGCCACUAUAUAAUAUUUUAAUAUAUAUUAUUUUUAUUCAAUAAUAUGUGAAAAUUAUGUGUAUAAUACAUGAAUGUUGCCUGUAUUAUUGACAAUUUUGUAAAAAAACACAUGUAUUAAACAUGGAAAAUAUAUACGUAUUGUACGUUUGUUUUUAAAAAAACGUGUAUAUUACCGAGUCUUUAAGAUGUGUAUGGAAAACGGAAGUAUUAUUAAAAAAUAUGUAUGUACGUGUAUAAUAUAAGUAUUAAACAGGAAAAAUGAAAAAUUCUUUAUACCGAUAAUAACUCUGGAAAACUAAAAAAGCAAAAGGGAAUAAUGGAGACUCUGAUCUAAUAGUAAAGGAUAACGCUCAAAACUAUUCUUAUCCAUAAACUAAAAUAUGGGAAUUUUAAAAUAAAUAAAUAAAAAAUAAAAAAAACACGAAGGACCCCAGUAUAGUUAAAUAGUAUAUUAGGCCAUUAUUUGAGUCUCUAUUGGCCCCUUUUAAAAGAAAUAGUAUAGCCGAGCAGCUAUACUCGGUUUUGCACUUUUUUUUUAAUAAAAGAAAUAGUCUGGCCAAGCGGCUAUACUCCAUUUUUUCUAAUCUUUUUUAAAGAUAUAGUAUAGCCGUUUGGCUAUAGUCGGUUUUUUCCAAUUUUUUUAGAAGAAAUAGUAUCACCGCAUGACUAUACUAUGUUUUUUUUUAAAAAAAAAAAAUUAAAAUAAACAGUAUAGCCGUGCUACUAUACCCGGUUUCUUUCCUAAUUUUUCAAAAAUAAAUAGUACAGCCGAGCGGCUAGACUUUUUUUAAAGUUUUAAAAAAAUCGUAUAGCCGUGCAGCUAUACUCGGUUUUUUUUUUUUAAAGAAAUAGUAUAGCCGCGCAGCAUAUAGUCUAGCCGUGCGGCUAUACAAGGGUUUCUUAAAAUUGUUUUUUGAAGAAAUACUAUAGCCAAACGGCUAUACGGGGUUUUCCCAAGUUUUUGAAAAGACAUAGUAUAGCCGAACGGCGAUUCUGGGUUUUUUAAUUUUUUCAAAAAGAAAUUGUAUAGCCGCCCGACUAUACUCGGGUUUUUUGUUGAAUUUUUUUAAGAAAUAGUAUAGCCACCCGGCUAGACUCGGUUUGUUCAAUUUUUUUAAAUAAAUAGUAUACCUGGUUUUUUCCCCUUUACGUACUUUAGAGUAUACAUGGUUUUUUCCCCUUUACGUACUUUAGGAGUAUAGCCGCCCGGCUAUACCCAAAGUAGUAUAGCCGAUCGGCUAGAGCCCAGGCGGCCGAUUUCUUUUGGAUCAUUUUUCGGUUGAAGAGCGCCAAUAACAUUUUUCAUUGCUCUGUCUACUUCUUCACCGUCGCUCUGAGAGAUUGAUAAUGGCGGACGAUAUUGGUUCAUUUGAGUUAAACACCGGAGCGAGGAUCCCUUCGCUAGGGUUAGGGACCUGGCAAUCAAGCCCUGGCCUCGUCGGCGACGCCGUUGCCACCGCUGUCAAGGUCUUCAUCGCUGAUCACUCCCAGCUUUGAAUUUUUUGUAAUCUUUACCAUUGAUUUGGUAGACUUAGCAUCUAACACUCAGCUGAAAAAUGGGGUUCUACUAAUUGCAGGCAGGAUAUCGCCAUAUUGAUUGUGCUCAACGCUAUGGCAAUGAGAAGGAGGUAAUUGCAGUUGCCUUUUGCUAAAUUAUUAAAUAAAUUUGAAGUUUUAAUAUCAUUUCUCUUCAUUAAAGUUGAAGUUUUAAUUUUGCUUUUACCCGUUUAUUUUACAAUACUUGUUUGAAAAAAAAAAAAAAAAUUUGUGUUUGGUUCAUUUGUUUUAAGAUGCUGAGUAGUUACUACAAUUUUCACGUACUUUUUACAAAAUUUUCCGUAUCACACACAAAUUCACAUAUUAUACAAAUGGUGGUUCAUAUAUUUUGAAAAAUAGUAUAGCCGGGCGGCUAUACUGGUUUUUUUUCCAAAUUUAAAAUAGUACUUCCACGCGGCUAUACUAGGUUUUUUCCUAAUAUUAUUUUCAAAAUAGUACAGCCGCUCGGCUAUACUCGUUUUUACCUAAUUUUUUAAAAACCAGUAUUGCCGGGCGGCUUUACUAGGUAUUUCCCCUUCUUCUUCUUUUUAAACAGUAUAGCCGUGCGGCUAUACGCGGUUUUUUUUUUAAUAUUCUGGUGAAUCGGACUCGGACUCGAACUCAUCACUGCGAACGUCUAGGGCACAGUGCAAGCCCAUUCCAGGUUUUGAGCAGUGUUCGAGAUAUCAGCCUAAGCGCUAGGCGGGAGGACACCGACACCAGGGAGUUAGGGGGGGGGCCUAGGUGGCCUGGGCUGAUCUAUGCGGCGCCUAGGCGGUCUGGGAGGAUCUAGGCGGCCUGGGCGGAUCUAUGCGGCGCCUAGGCGGCCUGGACUGAUCUAGGCGGCCUGGGCGGGUCGUGUCCUUUUUUUUUCCAAAUGAAGACAGACGAAGCUUGCUGGUGCGAAGCAGCAAAGGUGACAUGCAUAUAGUGUGUGAGAAGGAGGAAAUGUGACAUAAAAUAAGGAAAGGCAUAAGAAAUGAGGGGUUCGUUUCGUGUGGAGUGAAAGGAAUAGAUAGAAAACUGUGUUUCUGUUGUUGAGAGAGUGAGAAUUGGGAGGCAAAUGAAGAGGGAAUGAGAGAUUUAUAAUUCCUGGUGGUCUUGGUUGGGGUAAAGAAAAGGAAAGGAUAAAUUAGUCGUCAACACGCAUGCAGGGAGAGGUCGGUUAGUGGAGGGAGGCGCAUUGGCAUUGCUCACCAAUGCCUUUCUGCUUUAUUCAUUUCUUUCUAGUACUAGAAGCCUAAUGUUACGUAGAAAAUCCUUACAUCUUCUGCUCUGCAACUACUUUUUUAUUUAUUUAAAUAUUUUGACUGUACAAGUGGCAUAGCACUGUAGGGGAAGACACCUUCAACAAUAAUUAGUGUGGUAUUCUGUAGCAAGUGGCCUAGCACUGCGAAAUUCUAAAAUGUUAUAUUAUUUCAUCUUUUGUGUGGUGUUCUGUAGCAAUCCUCUUCAGGAAUGUUUUCAGAAUUUAGAGAGAAUACAAGCUAAUUUCACAGGGAGGAGAAGCCAUAGAAAAGCAGAACGCAGUGAUGACUUUGAUUGCACACUAUGCUAAAUAUGAACCUGUCACAACUCCUUGUGGGCAUUUCAUGCCUAUUUCAGUCAAUGGAUCGAGGUGAGUGUUUUGCUGUCACUGAUCCUAUUUAAUUGAGUUAGUCUAUAUCUUCUAAUCCCUUUUUAGUCCUUGACUUGUGUUAAAUUUUCCUAGGUAACAAAUGUCCUUUGUGCCCAACAGUUCUAGAACAUGUGUGCUUAUAAUAAUUGAAUGAGAUGCUUGUAUUAUUUGACAUCAGAAUUAUUGCUUUAUGGUUGCGCAUCCCCCAGGAGUUCCACCUAUUAUAGAUUGAGUCUGGCAUUCUCACUUUUACAGAGUAUAACAAUAUGUGCUUGCUAAUUUUUUGUGCUUAAUUAGUGUUAUAGCUUUCAGAGUUUACCAAGAUUGUUUGCUUCAGUUCUGUGGUCUACCUUCAAUAUCUUCUUUAUGUUUUUGCCAGUGCGACACUUAACGACAUUAUACAAAAGAACUUCCCAGAGGAAUUUGCCGAAAGGAAGUUGGAGAAUGAUACAAUGACAAACUUCAGUGUUGAUGUGAUGCCACUCUUUGUCAUGGAUGUUGUCCUCCCAUUUCAGAAGUUUCUGCUACUCAUUUUUUAACCUCGGAAUAGACUUAUGGUAAGUUGGUUAGCAGUUUGUAUUUUUCACAUAUGACAUUCAUAAAAUAUUUAAACGUAGAAGUGCAUUUGCUGCAAAAUAACUAUGUUGACAAACUUAUCUGGCAAGUUUUGUAUGCCUACUUGGUACUUUUCUACAGUCCAUGUGAUCCAUGUGUUGUGUUGUUUUUAUUGAAUAUUCAUAGAGUUUUGCUUGUACCUUGUCACUCAAACAACGGGUAAGGAGGACAUAUAUCAACUAGAAGGGUCUAGAGAGAGAGAGAGAGCAGACGUAAGUUAAUAACAAUUUGGUUUGCUGUAAUCUCUCUAUUGGAGUGUGCUCUUUUCUUUUAUAUUUUAUUUUUAAAUUUUUUGUUGUAGAGAAUAGUAAGAAGUUUGAGUUAAACUUGAUCCGGUUCUUAACAAUGCUUUUGAGUUUUUUUAAAAAAAAAAUUUUAUUAAUAAAUUGGUCACACAUUUUUCUAGAUGCAAAGUUGCAUAGUUUUCAACUUCAAUUGGCAAAACUUGAGAUACAAUAAGCAGAGCUUGAAGUGUUGUCGAUAAGGCAUCUUAUUUUACAUGUGACACAUGACCUAAAGGAAUUUGGUUGUAAAUCUUCAAAUGUAUUAUAGUUGUCACUGAAUUAAGUCUAAUAAUGUCAUUGCUAAAAGGACCUCUUGACAACUUAAACGUUAGGUCACUAUAUAUUAUUUUUAUUCAAUAAUAGGUGAUAAUUAUUUGUAUAAUACGUUAAUUUUGUGUGUCUUAUUGAAACUUUUGUUAAAAAUGUUAUUAUUUGAAAGGAUUUUAAAUUUUAAAACGUUUUAUUUUCUGUUUUAAUUUUUGGUUAGUUUCUUUUAUUUAUUAUAGGAGUUACAAAUUGUUUAAUUUUCAGUUUUUAUUUUCUAUUCAUUGCCACCAACUUUUAUGGUUAAAUGUGUUUGGAGGUUACGAGUUUUGGAUGCCUAUAAAAGGCCACUCCUCCUUCACAUUUCAAAUACUACAAUCAGAUUUCUCUAUUCUUAUACUUUCACAUAUUCCAUACUUUCUAUAUUAUUUUUGGGCAACGGUUCUGUGGCUUGGAGUUUUCUAUCCGACUGUGAACGUGCUCAUAGCGGAUCUUAAGCCUGCGUAUUGGGGUCGUAUCUUGGAGUCUUGUAGACCGUCAUUACUUGCACGUAGGGAGGCUACAAAGGCUUUAGGACAACGUCUUUGAGGUGCUUUCACUAUACCAGGCUUGCUUUCUUAAUCUUAACUUGUUUUAUUUAUUUGUUUACUUGGCUCUUUAUUUUACUUUACUGUUUAAUAUUUAUUUUAUAUAUUAUUUAUAACUAAAAGUUUUGAAUAAGAAUUUUAUAAAAAGGGAAAAAACCACAAUUUUUAAUAACAAUCUAAAGCCUUUGUAUGUUAAAAUUAUUCUUACCGUAUUUGUUUAAAGAAAACCUUUUUACCAAUAUUAAACCUCUAACCUAAUUGGUGUGCACCUUUGUUUUUUAAAAAAAAACUUAUUAAAGUUAUUAUUCAAAACCUUAAGUACCACUGUUGGAAAAGUUUAGUUACUCGUUUCAGUUUUGCUUGUGUUUGAUUGCUCAGUUACCAACCUCAAACAAAUUUCAAAAUCUUAAUAAAAUCAGUUUUAAAAAUUAAUUAAGUGCAUCAGAUUUUGUAACCGUUGUUUUAAGACAAAAUUAAAGUUAGAUAUUUUGUCAUAAACUUGGCACGUUUGUUUCUUUAAGUUAUUGUCUGUCCACCAACUGUUUGAUUAAUAUUCAAUCUUAAUUUCUAUUAUAUUUAAAUUUCAGAUUUUGUUGCUUCAUUAUUGUUUAUUGGAAUUGAGAUGGAUAGUGUAGAAACCAAUAGUGUUAAACCAGAAAAAUUUAAUGGGACAAAUUUUAAGAGGUGGCAAAGACAACUUAAAUAUUGGUUAACUAUUUUAGGGUUAGUUUCUGCCUUAGAAGAUCAAACCACACCUGAUAAAACUACUGAAACCACUUCUAAAACUAAGGAGAAGAUGACCAAAGAAGAAUUAGAAUAUCAUUGCCAUAAUAGAAUCCUUAGUGCUCUCUCUGAAGAUCUGUAUGAUGUUUAUCAAGAUACCAAAAAUGCAAAAACUUUGUGGGAUGAAUUAGAAGCUGAAUAUGGGAUAGAAGAUGCGGGAAUAGAUCGUUUUACAAUCUCGAACUUUAAUAACUAUACGAUGGUUGAGAAUAAAACUGUAAGUGAACAAAUUCAUGAGUACCAAGAUUUUUUUAAGGAAAAUAGAACUUAAGGGUACUAAGUUUAGUGAAGAGUUUAAAGUCUCUUGUCUCAUAGAUAAAUUACCUCCAAGUUGGUCAAACUUUGCAAAAACCCUUAGGCACAAACAAGGAGUUUUAACCUGAACCCAAGUUUUAAACUCCCUUAGGAUUAAAGAGAAACAUGAAUCAAGUAACAAGCCUAAGGAAGAAAAGACAAAUGUGAACCUAGUGGAAAGUUCAAACAAUAGGAAUCGUUUCCAAUCUAGAAGGAAAUCUUUCAAGAGGACAACAGAAAUAGCCAACCCAACCAUAAUCAAUUCAACCGAAACCAAAAUUGCCAGCACAAUAGACCCGAUAACAAUUCCAAUGGCAAUAGGGAUCAACCAUGCUUCGUUUGUGAAAGAACAAAUCAUUGGGCCAAAGACUGUCAUUACAAGAAGACCGAGCCCUACAAGCCCAAUCCUAAGUGGAACAAAGGACAAAGUGGUCCUAAAGCCCAAGUGAAUGUGUUGGUGGAUCAAGAUGAUCAAGAUGAACCCAAUCUAAGGAAUAGUUUUAAGCCUCUAGUUAAUGUCGCAUAUUUAAGUAAUAGUGAUUGGUGGUUAGAUUCUGGGGCAAACGUAAAUGUGUGUUUUGACAAACGAUUUUUCAAAAAUUACCAGAACUCAAGUGGAGGAAGUGUAACCCUAGGAAAUGACACCGUCGCACAAGUACGUGGAAUAGGAGAAGUGGAAUUGAAGAUGACAUCUGGGAAGACUCUAACUCUCAAGGAUGUGCGACAUGUUCCUGAAGUGAGGAGAAACCUUAUCAGUGGAUCGUCCUUAGUAAAACAAGGAUACAAAAUUGUAAUGGAGUCGAAUAGGAUUGUUAUUACUAUAAACGAUGUCUUUAUUGGAAAAGGAUAUGUUUGUGAUGGAUUGUUCAAAAUAAAUGUAGUUUUUGAAGAUAAUAAAAUUUCUCCUUAAGUUUUUAACAUUGAGUCUUGUAAUGUAUGGCAUGGAAGGUUAGGACAUGUAAGUUUGAGCAAAAUCAAAACGUUAAUGGAUCUUGAGCUAAUAAUCCUUAAGUCUAACAUAGACCUUAAGCAUAAAUGUGAAGUGUGUGUUCAAGCCAAACAAACUAGGAAUUCUUUCAAACCUGUAGAGAGAAACACAGAAAUCUUAGAGCUCAUACAUAGUGAUGUGUGUGAUUCAAAUAGGUCUCCUACUAGAGGUGGAAACAAGUACUUUGUGACUUUUAUUGAUGACUUCUCUAGGUAUUGCCAUAUUUAUCUUAUUAAGACAAAAGAUGAGGUGUUUAAUAAACUCAAGAUUUAUAAAAGUGAGGUAGAAAACCAAUUGGAGAAAAAGAUUAAAAGACUUAGAUCUGACAGAGGUGGAGAGUAUACCUCAAAUGAGCUUGGAGUGUUUUGUGAAGAACAUGGAAUUAUACAUGAAGUUACUCCACCAUAUUCACCCCAAUCUAAUGGAGUGGCUGAAAGGAAAAAUAGAACCCUGAUGGAUAUGGUAAAUUCUAUGCUUCUUAGUAGUGGACUACCUGAAAAUUUGUGGGGGGAAACAAUAUUAACUGUUUGUUUCAUACUUAAUAGGAUAACAUUGAAAGAUAAUGAGAAAACUCCUUAUGAGUUAUGGAAAGGAAGAUCACCUAACCUUAGAAUCCUAAAAGUGUGGGGGUGUUUAGCUAAGGUACUCAUACCCGAUCCAAAGAGAAAGAAAAUAGGUCAUAAGACUAUAGACGCAUUUUUCCUCGGUUAUGCGAAAAAUAGUAGUGCCAAUAGAUUCCUGGUGAUUAACUCUGAAGUAAAGGAAGUUGCAAACAACACAAUUAUGGAAGCAAGAGAUACUACAUUCUUUGAAGAUAUUUUCCCGUACAAGACAAGAAUUUCUAAGGAAGUACAAAUAAGUGAAAAGCCUUCUAGCUCAACUACGAUUGAAAAUUUAGAAUCUCAAGAACUUAGAAGAAGCAAAAGAGCGAGAGUUGAGAAGAACUUUGGAGAUGAUUUCUAUACCUUUCUAGUAGAAGGAGAUCCCACAACUUAUAAGAAGCCGUUAUGUCUGUGGAUGCACCAUUCUGGAAAGAGGCUAUAAAUGAUGAGUUUCAAUCUAUAAUUCAAAAUAACACGUGGAUGUUAACGAAUUUGCUUGCUGGAAAUAAAGCGAUAGGGUGCAAGUGGGUGUUUAGAAAAAAGUUGAAACCUGAUGGAAGUAUUGAUAAGUACAAAGCGAGAUUGGUAGCUAAGGGUUUUACACAAAAGAAAGGGAUAGAUUAUUUUGAUACCUACUCACCUGUUUCUAGGAUUACCACCAUAAGGACCUUGAUAGCUUUAGCAUCUGUGCAUAAUUUAGUGAUUCAUCAAAUGGAUGUGAAGACGGCAUUUCUAAAUGGAGACUUAGAUGAAGAGAUCUAUAUGGAGCAACCCGAAGGAUUUAUAGUUAAGGACCAAAAACACAAGGUGUGCAAGUUGGUUAAAUCAUUAUAUGGCUUAAAGCAAGCUCUUAAGCAAUGGCAUGAGAAAUUUGACAAGGUGAUUUUAGAUUAUGAUUUUAAGUUUAAUGGUCAUGAUAAAUGCGUUUACUAUAAAGAGAAUAAUGGAGAACACGUAAUCUUGUGCCUAUAUGUUGAUGACAUUUUGAUCUUUUGGACGAAUUAGAGAUUGUGAAUGAUGUGAAGUCAUACUUAUCUAGGAAUUUUGACAUGAAAGAUAUGGGAGAAGCACAUGUAAUCUUAGGAAUGAAAAUUAAGAAGACGACACAAGGAAUCUCUCUAAGUCAAUCUAGUACUAUUGAAAAGAUGUUGAAGAAGUUCAAUUACUUUGAGUGUAAGCCCACACCAACACAUUAUGAUCCCAAUGUUCAUUUAAAGAAAAAUCAAGGUGAACCAUUUUCUCAGCUGAAGUACUCCUAGAGGAUAGGUUCUUUGUUGUAUAUUGAAAAUAAGACUAGACCAGACAUUGCUUAUGCUGUUGGAAGGUUAAGUAGGUAUACACAUAACUCAAGCAAGGAACAUUGGAAUGCUUUGGAAAGAGUUUUCAAGUACCUAAGAGGAACAAUAGAUUAUUCAUUGUGCUAUAAAGGAUUUCCAAAUGUAGUAGAGGGAUAUAGUGAUGCAAAUUGGAUAACUGACAAUGAAGAAGUAAAGUCUACUAGUGGUUACAUUUUCUUAUUAGGUGGAGCUGCAAUUUCAUGGGGUUCGAAGAAGCAAACAAUUAUUUCUAGAAGUACUAUGGAGUCUGAACUCAUAGCUUUGGAUACUACUUGCACUGAGGCUGAAUGGAUUAAGAGUUUAUUGAUGGAUAUGCCUCUGGUAGAGAAACCAUUGCCUGCUUUAUCUAUUCAUUGUGACUGCAAGGCUACAAUAGACUUGGUGAAACAAUCUCACACAAAUAGGAAAAUGAACAGACACAUACAUGUGAGAUAUAAAUCUAUGAAGAGUCUAUUAAGUAAGAACAUUGUGUCUUUGGAGUAUGUGAAGUCGGAGAACAACAUUGCUGACCAAUUGACUAAAGGUCUUUCUAGGAGCAGAGUCCUAGAAAUGUCGAGGGGGAUGGGCUUAAGCCCAUAAGGGAGUCACCUAGGGAGGUAACCCAACUUCUGUUAUUGACGAUCCCAUGAAGGAAGUUCAAUGGGUAGAAACAAUCCAUACUGCGUGACUCAUUGAGCACGGUUUAUAUCAUGUGGAGGCAUCCCAGAGAUGUCCUCAUGCUCAUCCCUAUGACAUCAGUGCUAUAUAAUGUGACGUUAGGAAGGGAGUUAUCCCUGAAUGAGUUUCGAGGCGGGCAAUCUCCCGCAGGGUGCAGGUCACAUGUACUCUUGGAGAACUCACCUAAGUGAGAGACGUCGUGAGGCCGCGACUGUGAGAAUUGGGCUAUUCUCUAGCAACUCUCAUGAGAAUCAAGAUUAGCGCAUGGCCAUAAAUAGCGCUACCCCGCUUCCAAGCCUCAACCAAUACUAUGUGUGGGAUAUGUUGAAGUUUGGUCAAAGGUGCCGAGUUCAAUACUGUGUACACUCAGGUUCCUCAAAUGGAAACUAUCAUCACUAAGUGAAGGUUCAAGCCCGGAAGGCACCUACACCUAUUGCAUAGUAUUAUGUUGCCCAUAUGUAUAUUUUCUUUAUAUUUUACAAUUUUAAAAUUUUAAAACCCUUUGUGGGGGAUUGUUAUUAUUUGAAAGGAUUUUAAAUUUUAAAACGUUUUAUUUUCUGUUUUAAUUUUUGGUUGGUUUCUUUUAUUUAUUAUAGGAGUUACAAAUUGUUUAAUUUUCAGUUUUUAUUUUCUAUUCAUUGCCACCAACUUUUAUGGUUAAAUGUGUUUGGAGGUUACGAGUUUUGGAUGCCUAUAAAAGGCCACUCCUCCUUCACAUUUCAAAUACUACAAUCAGAUUUCUCUAUUCUUAUACUUUCACAUAUUCCAUACUUUCUAUAUUAUUUUUGGGCAACGGUUCUGUGGCUUGGAGUUUUCUAUCCGACUGUGAACGUGCUCAUAGCGGAUCUUAAGCCUGCGUAUUGGGGUCGUAUCUUGGAGUCUUGUAGACCGUCAUUACCUGCACGUAGGGAGGCUACAAAGGCUUUAGGACAACGUCUUUGAGGUGCUUUCACUAUACCAGGCUUGCUUUCUUAAUCUUAACUUGUUUUAUUUAUUUGUUUACUUGGCUCUUUAUUUUACUUUACUGUUUAAUAUUUAUUUUAUAUAUUAUUUAUAACUAAAAGUUUUGAAUAAGAAUUUUAUAAAAAGGGAAAAAACCACAAUUUUUAAUAACAAUCUAAAGCCUUUGUAUGUUAAAAUUAUUCUUACCGUAUUUGUUUAAAGAAAACCUUUUUACCAAUAUUAAACCUCUAUCCUAAUUGGUGUGCACCUUUGUUUUUUUAAAAAAAACUUAUUAAAGUUAUUAUUCAAAACCUUAAGUACCACUGUUGGAAAAGUUUAGUUACUCGUUUCAGUUUUGCUUGUGUUUGAUUGCUCAGUUACCAACCUCAAACAAAUUUCAAAAUCUUAAUAAAAUCAGUUUUAAAAAUUAAUUAAGUGCAUCAGAUUUUGUAACCGUUGUUUUAAGACAAAAUUAAAGUUAGAUAUUUUGUCAUAAACUUGGCACGUUUGUUUCUUUAAGUUAUUGUCUGUCCACCAACUGUUUGAUUAAUAUUCAAUCUUAAUUUCUAUUAUAUUUAAAUUUCAGAUUUUGUUGCUUCAUUAUUGUUUAUUGGAAUUGAGAUGGAUAGUAAACAAACCUUCCCCAAAGCUAGUCUUCUUGAUGGUUCCAACACCUCCAUCUCCUUCAACAAUUUCGGCACUUUUAACUGCUUGUGGAGCAAUCUUUGGGACGAGGUUGUCAGCAUCUAGAACAAGGGCUUUGAACAACCUAGGUGGAGCAAUGACAGAGGUGAACUCGGUUUCGUAUGUGAAGACACCCAUGAUGAUGAUGAUGAUUUAAGAGCUUAUUAGAAAAUGAUCAAAGAAAGAAUGAAUGUGGAGGAAGCUAAAAGAGAAUGAUUGAUAUUGGUGUGAGGAAGUGUGAGCACCAUAGGCGGUAUUUAUAGGUUAUUAAGGGUGAAGUGUCUGUUGUGUAAAGUAAACCCCAUGGAUAUGAAUUGAAUAUUUUAGUCAAAGAAAGCCACCUAUGCAAGGAAUUUUCUAAUGGAAUGUUCUGAAACACAUCCACGCACACAGUCCAUUCUGAUUGGCUAGUAAAUAUCAUAUUGGUCGUAUACAACACCACUGGUGUGCUGCUGAUUCUGCUGACUGCUGACUCAAUAAUAUCCUUAUUCAAUUGAAAAUUCUAAAGUCCUUUUCACUUUCAUUUUCAAAGUCUAAAGUCUUUGAUAUACAGCUGAGAUUUCACAAAGCCUGACCUUCAGCCUCAAUCUAUAAAUAGCAUCUCCAGUUCUCACAUUUUCCAGCAUCAAAUAUCAUCCCUGCCAAUUCUCUAAUCCUUUCACACUUUCAUUCUUUCUUUGAUCAUUUUCUAAGCUCUCAAAUCAUCAUCUUCAUCAUGGGUGUCUUCACAUACGCAGACGAGUCCACCUCAGUCAUCCCCCCACCAAGAUUGUUCAAAGCCCUUGUUCUUGAAGCAGACACACCCUCAUCCCCAAGAUUGCUCCCCAAUCAGUGAAAAGUGCUGAAAUUGUUGAAGGAGAUGGAGGUGUUGGAACCAUCAAGAAGAUUAGCUUUGGUGAAGGUUGGUUUCUGCCAUUGCCUCUUCUAAGUCUAACUUGUUUGCUUAAUUAAUAUCAUAAAUCUUGAAAGCAUUAAUCUCUUAAUUUCUAAUUAUAAUCUCAUUUUACAGGAAGUCAUUACAGCUAUGUGAAGCACCGGAUCGACGGGCUUGACAAAGAUAACUUUGUGUACAGCUACAGUUUGGUCGAAGGAGAUGCUCUUUCAGACAAGGUUGAGAAAAUCAGUUAUGAGAUUAAGUUGGUGGCAUCUGCUGAUGGAGGUUCCAUCAUAAAGAGCAGCAGCAACUACCACACCACAGGUGAUGUUGAGAUCAAGGAAGAGGAUGUUAAGGCUGGCAAAGAGAAGGCAACUGGUCUGUUCAAGCUUAUUGAGAACUACCUUGUGGCCAACCCAGAUGCCUACAACUAAAAUCUUAAAUGAAAUAUACUGCAUGUGCUUUCUCUGUCAUUUUAUUGGUGUGGCUUUCAUUUUGCAUUUUUUUCUUUUGUCUAUCAAGCCAGAGCUGCUUUGGCUUGCACCUAAGGCUAUGAUAAAUUGUAAUGUUUCUAUUUGAUUUGAUUCUAAAUAAAUAAAGCAAAAAUCAGUUGCUGGUCUUUACAAAUUUGGUCUGCAGUAUCUAUUUUCAAUUUCGUGAAUUUCAAUCUUUUUUUCACUAAUAAAAAUUUACUAAUUAAAAAUAAAGAUUCGAUAAAAUUAGAAUGAUAAGGAUGACGCGCAUAAAUCGAGAAAUGGCCCUUUGGUUUGGUCAAGGCUUUUGAGAAGUACCGUUCGGGGCAACCUACAAGUAAAACUAUCUAUCACAGUACUGCUCGCAAAGAGCAACAAAAGUUUUGUGACCUCUUUUUCCAUCUUCAUUCAUUGGUGCGGCUUUCAUUUUUGUUUAUUUUUUUUUAUAUCAAUCCAUCACCAACUGGACGACAAAAUCAAUAUUUCACCCCUUUUUUUCUUACUAUUUCCACAAUAACAAAAUCCAAUCUUUGUUUCUCUUUUUCUCAUCUGUUUUCAUGGAGUAGUAUGCCACGGAAAUGACAUUUUUCUCAGAUCAUCUGAUUCUGAAUUUUUUAUUCAUCCACAUUAGCCAAGAAAUCAAUGAACUAGAUAAUUGCUCAAUCGAAAACAAUCUACGAGUCUGAGUGGGUUUUCUUAUGUGUCAUUGGAUUAAUUCAAUGACCUUUAUUAAAUAGGACUUCACAAGACCUCAUCUUUAGGUCUUUAGGUGAGCGGGACUGUAUACAGAAGUUGGGUUACCUCCCUAAGUGACUUCCUUAUGGGCUUAAGCACAUCCCUUUCGACUCCUCCACGGGGCAUGCAUAUCAUGACUAGUCUUCGCAAGGCAUGUAUAAUGUGGGUCAUGUCUUUGUUCUCCACGUUAGUACGCUCUAAAUUUGUAUGUUAUUAGAAAUAUUUCCUAGAACAUUGCACACAAAUUAUUAGUGGAUCUCAUCUCAAAGUUGUCACUAUAGCUGAAAUUAUGAUCGCAUAUCUAAGUUGUCACUAUAUCCUCCCGAUUCUCAAUAUGACUCUUUAAGACAAUAAAAAAUCUCCACCAAAAUUCUAUACCAAAAUCAUCAUUAGUUGCACACACUUUCAUAUAAAAAAAUGAAGAAAAAUUAGUUUCAUAAUAAAAUUUCAUAAUAUAAGAAAACUUCACACCAAAACAACAAGUUCGCCAAAAAAUACUUAUUUAAAAAUUGCUUGAAGGUAAUAUCAAGGUCAUGAAUAUAAAGCACCCCCACAUUUAAAAUAUGUAAAGCAAAUCCAUUAUGUUUCCAAUGCUGACCACAAAAAUAAAAAAUAUUAAUAAUUAAUGAAAGGUUCUUUUCUAUAUGAAUGUGUUUUAAAUAUAGGUUGUCAAGUUCAACGAAAUAAAGAAGGCACACUAAUUCAAACUCACUGAAAUAUAUAAUUAUACAUUUACAAAAGUACGUAAUAGAGAAGCACCAUUAAUUUCCAUUAAUUCCUUCACCAGCAUAUUAGCCUAACUACAAAACAAUAAAAUCUUGUUAAAUCACAAGUAAAAACAUGAAGAAAUUCCUUGGAAUAUUAUUGCUUCUUUCUCCAUAACUUAAUUUUCCAAGAUAAUGACAGGCCAACAUAAGAGAAAGCUCCCGUUUUAUAUAGUUUUCAAAAACUCAAAUAUACAUUUACAACUAUUAGUAUGAAUCUCAUGUCACAAACUAGUGAGCUUAAGAUUGCAAAAUUCAAAGUAAAAGAAAUAAAGGAUUUUGUAGAAUUUAACUGGUCAUAUACCAUAUUGCCAUUUUAGAGCGAUGGAGGUAGAGAUCGCUUAUCUUGAUCUUCAUAGCCACCGUUAAACAAAUUAACUUGCUGUAGCAAUCAAGAAUAGUUUGGAAAUCAAAUCUGUAGUGCCCAACAAUGUAAAAUGAAAUCAAAACAAUUGAAGCAAUCAAUUUGAAGCUUUAGACAAAAAUUGAAGCUGCAACACUAAUUCUUUUGGAUUCAACCUUCAGCUUAAAAUCAAUAAUAAAACUAUAUUAAUUGUCUCAUUUAAAUACCAGUGGAAAGCUUCUUAUAAAACCAAUUACUCAAAACUGAAACUGUCACAAAAUGAUUUCCACGCACAAUCUGGGUAAUUAAAUACAACAUAAAUAUGUAAUGAAAAUUUGAAAAUAUAUAUAGGCAUAAGCACAAAAUAGAAUUGUCAAGUUUAAUUUCUCCAUGAAUGUGAAAAGAUAUAAUUCUCAAUAAAUUGAGGCUGGUUCCAAAAAUAUCAGCCAACUAGCUAAUGCUUUUAUAGUUGUUGGCUGUUUCAAAAUUAAUUUUAAAACAAUAACAAUAGCAAUAAAAUCUCAUAAACUUUUAUUUUGCAACAUAAAUAUCUAUAAGAUUAUCAAAAUAUUAAAGGCUUCUUAAGAUCUAAGUCUAAAACGAUUAGGUGUCAUAAGGUUUUAGUCUACGCAUUUUUUGUUUUACAUGUAGGUCAUUUGACAUUUGUUACUUUUUUUGUUGUGUCGAUUUUACCCCUUGAGAUAAAUAAGGCAAACACAUUGAAAAUAUAAAUAUAAUGCAUUAUUUCCUUAUAAUUGAAUUUCAAAUUUCAAAUUUUGAAUUCUUUCAUUGAUAAUACUCCUAAUGUAUGGAUAAAAUACAAUUUAAUUAAUAAAAAGUAGAGACCUACAUAUUAUACCAGUCGAUCAGACAAGUACUAACAUUAAAUUAUGUACUUAGACAUAUAAGUACAUAAUGUUAUUAUUAGUAAUGAAAAAAAACUUAGUGAUAAAUCAUGUUACGUAUAAGUUAGGAACAUAAAUUGGAAGACUAACUAUAAUUUAGGAACAUAAAUUGAAAGACUACCUAUAAGUCAGAUACAAAAAUAGACAAAAUAAAAUUGUAUGUUACCUAUAAAUAAAUAAAAAAGAUGCAUAAAAUACUAUUAUACAUUGUCGAAAAUAUAAAGAAAAAAAUCAUAUAUAUACCUAUGCAAUAGGCAAUAUGACAUAAAUGACUACUACCCGAUUUAAGUCGUAAGGGCCAAUAUUGGAAUAAAAAAUUGAUUUUAAAAAUAAAAUAAUAAAAAUAUUAUAUCAUAAAAUAUUUAUAAAAAAAAAUGUAAUUCUAUGUGACACAAAAAUCAAAGAACUUAUAUCAAAGUCACUAAAUUUGAGGAUUAAACUCAACUCCUCAAUAGAAAUUUGGAUCUAUAUCAACUUUUUUUAAAAGCCAGUUGAUAACAUUCUAUUAAAUUUUUAUGGUCUUUUUAAUAAAUUAUUUUAAUAAAAAAUUGACUUUCCAGUUUGUAACAUUCUAUAACAACCUUUUCCCAAUUUUUAUAUGUAAUGUAAUGUUCUGCAGACUCUCAUCAAUUUCGAAAAUCUUCUGGUUCCCUGGUUUUUACCUUGUGUAACAAGUGUCCCCUCCUUUUGCCCUUUCUUGACGCUUUGGCUCUUCAAAAAGGGGAGCAAAACGUUAACAAUAGUCGUACUGACUCAGAAGACCCACUCUGCUUCCUCCAAACCAACCCACUCUGCGUCCUCCGCACAGACCAAUCAUGGAUGAUCGUACUGACCCAGACGACCUCCACACCAUUCUCUCCGAACAACGCAGAGACCUUAUGGCCGCCAAAACUCUAGACUCCGACCUCGACAUGGCCUUCAAGCUCCAAAUGCAGGAGGCCAUGUCCGCCUCUCUCGCUCUCAAUCCCUCGUUGGCCUCGAGUUCGAGUUCGAGUUCGCGCAACUCUCCGCCUCCUUCGCCGCCCCACGACGCCAUUUUAGACCUCGCCGCCACGCUCAUGCUCGAGGACGUUGAGAGAUUCGCGCAGGAGUGGGAGGACCACGAGCGCACCGUUUCGGAGAUGAUGAAGACGAAGGAAGAUCUCAACCGUCGAAUUCACGAUCAGAAGUUCGCCGCCGACCUCUGCGACGUGCCAGACGACUACUGGGCCAAGCACGGCGACUAUUACGAGCGUCCGUACUCUGCGGACGAAUCGUCGUCGUCGUCGUCGACAAAAGCUGCGGCGGUGGAGACUGAGAAUUUGAGGUUGUAUUGCAAGGGUUUGGUGAGCGAGGAGAGGGUUAGGGAUAUGAAGGUGGUGGUUGCUGGGGCAGGUGUCGCGAUUUGUGACCCGAGAGACAAUCUGAUAUUCGAGGCGAGGAAGAAUCUAGAGGCGGUGGCUGAUGGUGUGGUGUUGAGCAAUGAGGCUGCGGAGCUUGAGGCCAUUAUUGAAGGGCUUAACAAAGCUCUCACCUUGGACUUGAAAUCUGUGACCUUUUACUGUGAUGACUACAUGCUUUACCAAUAUGUGAGUUUUAGCGUUAAACACUCGCUUUUAUUGGUCUUCUUUUGUUUAUUCUCAAAUUCACUUUUUAAUUGGGUGGGAGUUUGUGUUUAUGUUAAUGGUAGUAGAGUUGACUGUUGACUGGUGUGCAUUGUUUGUUGCAUUGCAAAUUUGAAAUCUUUGGCUGUAUGAACUAUUGGGUGUCUUCUGAAACAGAGGAAAAGAAAAAGAUUGUGCAUUUGACAAUUUUGGAAGUGGGAUAGAAAUUUUGGGGCUUACUAUAUGUGGGUUUGUUUGGGAGAACAUUAUAGGAGAUUGAGCAGGAAGAUUGUGGGCAACUAUGAGAAGUGUGAAAGCCAAUUACUAAACAUCAAUAUGAGUGAGUUGCUGUUUUGGUUUUUGGUUCAGUGUUUGGGUUGGGUUAAUUGGUCGAAGUGCAAUCUAACAAGUGUAUGUCAUGUCAUUUGUGACAGUGUUUUGGAGUGUGUUAAUUUAGCUUCGUGCAGAAGCUGCAAGGAAUAAUCCCAAACAACUUGGUAUUUGGGAGAAUUAACAGUUAUCUUGUUAGACCUAUCCUUCUUUUAGUCUGUUGUGUUAAACAUUUGCUGAGCUUGCUGCAUUUGUGUGACAAAGCCAAUUUUGGGCAAAUUUUGGGUUCAGCAAUGAUUCGGUCAUGCAGUUAUACUAUUUUGUUGUUGUUAGAAAUUUGUUAAUUAUUUUUUGGUGAUGUGUUCUGUCAAACUUUGUUGGUUGUAUUACAGGAUAAAUAUGUAUUUUUUUCUAUUCCGAAGGAGAAAACCCAAGUUCUGUUAUUUUUAAUUUAUUUUCCUCCUUAUUGAUAGUAUAAUUCAUGUCUUAACAAGUUUGCUGCUCUCAUCACUAUUCAUGUUUAUGAAAUAAAAUACGGGGGCAUAACAGAAAAUUCCAUUUCGUGCCACUUAUGUAGAUGAUUGACAUCUUUUAAAUACAGGUCACAAACAGAGUGCGUCCUGGAAACAGCAAGGUUGCAACAUUAGUCAAUCAAGUGGCUCUUCUACAAAGAAAAUUUGAAUAUUGCAGCCCUUCUCUUGUAACACGUACUGACAUUAAGUUUGCACUUAAAGUUGCUAGAGAGGCUAUAGUUUCUCAGAUCACCUGGCGUGCAGACUCUAGCAAUGGAAAGAGUUUGAAGGAGACUUGUGUAAUUUGCUUUGAAGAAACUGAUGUUGCAGAAAUGUUUUCAAUCGAUGGCUGUCUACACAGGUAUUGCUGUUCCUGUAUGAAACAG